rnacentral:tRNA from 1 species
GUCCUCAUAGCUCAAUGGAUAGAGCUACAGACUCCUAAGCUGUAGAUGUAGGUUCGAUUCCUACUGGGGAUACCA